rnacentral:rRNA from 1 species
AACGAACGCUGGCGGCAGGCUUAACACAUGCAAGUCGAGCGCAUCCUUCGGGGUGAGCGGCGGACGGGUGAGUAACGCGUGGGAACGUGCCCUCUUCUACGGAAUAGCCUCGGGAAACUGAGAGUAAUGCCGUAUACGCCCGCAAGGGGAAAGAUUUAUCGGAGGAGGAUCGGCCCGCGUUGGAUUAGGUAGUUGGUGGGGUAACGGCCUACCAAGCCGACGAUCCAUAGCUGGUUUGAGAGGAUGAGCAGCCACACUGGGACUGAGACACGGCCCAGACUCCUACGGGAGGGAGCAGUGGGGAAUCUUGGACAAUGGGGGCAACCCUGAUCCAGCCAUGCCGCGUGAUCGAUGAAGGCCUUAGGGUUGUAAAGAUCUUUCAGCUGGGAAGAUAAUGACGGUACCAGCAGAAGAAGCCCCGGCUAACUCCGUG